rnacentral:sRNA from 1 species
CCCCGUCUCUACUAAAAAUACAAAAAUUAGCUGAGCGUGAUGGCACACGCCUACAAUUCCUGCUACUUAGGAGGCUGAGGCAGGAGAAUCACUUGACCCCGGGAGGCGGAGGUUGCAGUGAGCUGAGAUCAUGCCACUGCACUCCAGCCUGGGUGACAGAACGAGACUCUGUCUCAAAAAAAUAAAAUAAGUUUUCUCUAGCUGGAUCCUCUGCUGAGCCUAUGGAGGCAGACUUCUAGAUGCUUACUGGAGGCCAGUACUUACAAUUUCAUCAGAAAUUCCUAAAAGAAUUCAAAGUGCCUUAAAAAAUGCAGAAGAAUCAAAGCAAUUUCUUAAUCAGUUUCUGGAACAGGAAACUCGUCUCUUCAGCGCCAUUAACAGCCAUUUGCUGACUGCGCAACCUUG